CAAACCGGGCUGUGGGCCCAAUUGGUCCAACAAUUAAAAAGAGCCACGGGCUCUUAUUCUCUUCAUUUCCCUCAACGACGCAGCAAGCCUCCCAGGGAAGAGAAGAAGAGAAAUUCGUUUAGGUGAAUUCAAUAUCCCGUAACUUCUCCGUUCGAGCUCCAAUUGCUGCACCGUUUGCGGUCACGCGUUCACCGCGUCGAACUCUACGUUUCUAUCGGAACAAUUUCACUGGAUCCAAUUAGCUUGAGAGAAACGUUCACUCUUACUUAUGUGAAGCUUGGGUAAGGUUGUGAAUAAAUAAUUGGAGCUUGAAAUUGUGAAUAUUGGAACUUGGAGGAAGCGGAUUAGUUGAGGUUUUGAGGGCUGUGUUCUUUUAGGAAAAUUUUCUUGGAAUAACACUUGGGAAUCGGCUAAGGUCGAGAGGCAUCUCGUUAGGCGUCUGGACCUUUGAAGCGGAGUGGUUACAGGGUUAUUUUGUUAUGCUAUGAUGUGUAUAUAUAUACUUGGUUUUCUCUCCGCAUAACUUGUUCUUUUGAUCCUCCUAGAGGUUUAUGGAGAGGCAGGAUUGUGUAUAUGUACUUUUGGGUUCUGGAUAUGUAUGUAUAUAUAUGUAAAUAUUCUUCGGCCAGUCUUGACUUCGCAGGCUGAGUUAGGAGCUUGUUAUUUUGUAUC